GUCACCGUCGCCCUUAGAAUUAUCAGACGCUCCGAAAUACGAGAAAACUGGAGGCAGCCGGACCUUUUCCCAGGAUAGAGACUGGCUUCUUAUCAGAUCAGGAUAGAGAGUUUAUUUUCUGGAGUAAAUCUGGAUGGAGGGGGAUAACGAAAUGAUACAUCCCUUAUGGACACAAAGAGAGAGGGAUGUGAAAAAAGAGAAAGCGAAAGAGAGACGGAGAUUAGCUCUCCUAAAGCAUAUGUGGCUUUAGUACGCCCUGACAGACAGCGGAUUGAAAGGUCACCAAGUUAUAAUCCCUCCUUUCUUCUCCUUUAAUCCUAUGAGGGUGUCUCACUCCAUCGCUGGGACAGGACAGAGAAGGAUGUACGCAGCAGGGAGGUUGCUCACUUACUCUUGUCCACUGAUACUCAUGUGGUCUCCUCUCCAGCUCCCAUCAACCCCCAGGAGAAGAUGAAGGGAGCUCUGAGUCUCUCAGGCGGAAGGUUGAAGCACAUCCCCAACACCCAGACAGAUGUCAAGAAGCUGGGGACCUCCCAGCCACCAGGAAAAUCAUCUUGUUCUUGGAGUUUAUUCACAAGGUCAGAUAGAAAUAGAUCCACACAUGUUAUUCUCUAUCAUGCAGAGUUCUCUAUCAUGCUCAUUCAAUAAUAGACGUGGGUGAUUUCUGUCCCAGGGGACUGAACUGUGUGCAAAUUAUUUGUUAAAUUGAGACCACAAUUAGUUGAAUGAGGUGUUAGUGAACCUGUUCACUCCUGUGUAAAGAACCUAUGGCUGUCAUGACUUCAAUUGACUCAAUGCAGUUACCAUUUUCUUUUGUUAAUCUAUGUAGGUUUUGUCAUAUGAUGAGCCUGGUGGAGAUGGAUACAACCAUACUCCCUGCAUCCAGCUUGAGGCCUGCUACCAGCAGGAACAUGGAGCACUCCAUGUCAGUGUCAGGAAGUUAGGAAUAUAUAUAAAACAUUCAAAAAAUAUUUAUAUAUAUACACACAGCUAAUACUCCGCUCAUAUGCAGAGUGGAGAAGCCCUCUGCACCAUAAACAUGUCUACUCGUGGAGUAACUCCCUGUCAGAGAGACUGAUUAGAGGGUUUUGCCAGAGGCCCUUGGCCAAUGGGAGGUCAUGUGUGAGGGCUUAGGGGUUAGAGGGAGAGACAGCGAAGUUACAGACAUGAAGAUACAACUUGAACCACAGAGUAAGGCAUUCAUUUGUCUGACUGGAAGGCACCCUUAUAGUCAACAAUGUAAAUGUUAACUCUCUUACUCUCUCUCUUUCAAGAGCGUUCAGUACACUCUUAGAAAGAAAGGUGUUAUCUAGAACUUCAGCUGUCCCCAUAGGAUGACCAUUUGAAGAACCCUUUUGGUUCCAUGUAGAAACCUUUUGGGUUUUGGGUUGGAACCAAAAAGGGUUCUCCUAUGGGGACAACCGAAUAACCCUAUCAAUCUCUUUCCAGGUGCUAGAGACAGAAUAUUCAAAGGACCUCCAGAGCCUUCAGACCAACUACUCUCCAGAGCACAGACAAGUAACCUCCACUGGUGGUAAUAUACUUUAUUCACUAUGUAACCCUUCACGAUGGCUGUCUGUCUGUGUGAUGACAUAUAGCAUAUUAUCCAGGGCCGCUGGUUGGAUUUACUGUACUCACUCCAAAACUCAUGCGACCUUCUCCCUGUAAAAGUCUCCCAGACUUGUAUAAAAACUAACGUGUCCAUCCCUCUGUUUCCCAGCUGAGUCUGCUGGUCCAUGGAACUCUAGAGCAGAACAUCAAAAAACCUGCCAUCCUGUUGCCAGCUAUCGACGGUUCCCUGAGGAAAGAUGCAAAUAUCAAGGCUUUAAAUGGUCAAAUUUGGGGGAUGACCACCAAAUUCAAUAAAGUUUUGCAGAAUCUACAAUAACUGUUUCUUAGCCUGUUCUCAUUUGUAUUAACUACUAUGGUAACUUAAACAUCUGGCAACAUGCAGACUUUAUCCAUCAAGACAAUACUUAUGAUUCUUAAGGGCUAAAAUCAAUGAAUACAUUUCUAUUUAUGUAUAAAGGACAUCACAUAGGUGUGCCAACUAAAAUAUAUAUCCCAGAGAAGACUGAAGAAUAGGACAAAUAGGC
ensembl:lncRNA